GCCGCCGUAGGUGCUAUAAAAGGCGCGGCGCGCCCUCCCCCGACCUCUGCGCGCGCCGGCGGCUGCCAUGGCGGGUGCGCUCCUCGCCGCCUUCUCCCGGGCCCUUCCCAGCCCGCUCCUCGGCUACCGCCCUGCAGCGUCGCUCUCCCGGGCGCGGCGCGCUCUAGGGGGCUCUGCUGCCGGGUGGGCGCUCCGGGCGCGAGGCGGGGGCGGGCGCUGACCUGGGGCGUCCCGGCCGCGGGAUGCGGGACUGGGCCCCGGAGAGGCGCCGUGCUGUGUCCCUCCCCGCGCCGUUUCCAGCCAGGAAGCUUCGGGAAGCCUGGUGAGAGUCCAGUGCGCGAAUUCGGACCUAAGCGGAAAGCGGCCCGCUCGCCCGCGCCCCUUCCGCCCCUGCUGCUGCGUCCCCGAGUCGCGGAGGCUUUGGGGACGUCGCCCCGAGUGUCGGCAUCUUCGAGAAAUGGAUUUCUCGUGCUGUGUCCACGCGUCGGGUGUUUCCGUGUGACCGGCCGCCCAGCGGGAGGCCGUCGUGGCCGAAGGAGUCCGGUGACCGCCGGACCAAAGACUGUUUUACAGGACAGGUGCGCGCCUGUCCUUGGUGGGCAUCCGCCUCGUGGUCCUGGUCCCUGGACACCUGCAGGGGAUCAGCGUUCCGUGGCCAUUGUUGUGACUCAACUUCCCCUCCUAGAGAGUAAGCGGAGGGAGACAUCUGCUCACUGGAAACACGUGCGAGGGGUGCUGGGGUGUUGGGAAGGAGGUGACUUAGCCUGUGAUGGACUCCAGUGUGAGCAGUGGCCAGAGUGACGAGGCCAACUGGCCCCAGCCUGGAUCAAGGUGCAGAGGCCGGGAUGUGGGCGCAGCCCUGUGCCAGGAGGCUGGCUGGAACAGAGGUACAGGCCUCACUCCCUCUGGGACCGCUGGCACCCGGGGUGUUUGCAGCCUGAGAACCCAGCUUUCCACACGCCCACCUGCCCCCAGGGCCACAGUUGCAGCUCCUGCUCUGCUCUCAUUCCAGGGAUGGGCAGGCUGGCAUCGGGACGCCCACCGCCUCUGCCUGAGUAGUGCUGUGUGUUCCAACUGGCCAGGGGGCAGCUGCCGGGACCACCCCUCCAUUUUAGUGUCCCGAUUCUUAAGUUCUGCCAUUGUGGUAUUCUGGUGGAAAGAAAGAACCAUUUGGCUAUUUUUGAACUGCCUGGAAUCGAGGAUCCUGAGUUAUUUAUUUUUUUACUGUAUUUGAGUCAUCUUGUUUUUGUUGUUUUUUCCCCCAAGGGGGAAAAAUCGACAUGGAAAACAUUUAUUUUAAAAUACAGGAUGAAGUGAAUUAAAAGAUUUAAUGCACAUUUCCUCAAGGAUAACAUUUCUGUGUUGGCAAAAUUUGAGAAUAAAUGGGUCUGGAACGGAA